CUGUGCUUACUAAAUCAGAAUUAAUAUGGACAACUCACAUAGGUCAAGUGGAGCGUGUGUUCACAACAAUCUACAAAAUGAAAAAUUUAGAGGCAAUAACUGACAGCUCGAGAGGGUUAAAAUUUCUGCUACUACAAAUUGGAAAAAGGUAUUUUAAAUCACUGGAUCUGCAAACAUUUAUGUCUGGAGAUUCAGUGGUGGCUGAAGAGUAUGUGGCACAAGCUGGCAGGUGGUACAGCAUAAGCAUUCCAAUGAAAGAAAGAGGCAAAACUUGGAAUACAGCGAGAUAGAACAAUACAGACUCUUGGAUACCUGCCUGGGAAGGAACAACAACAG